UCAUGCUGAGCCCUGAGUUCCCUGGGAAU
rnacentral:piRNA from 1 species